AUUGCGCCAGCCCAGGGAGGGAUGAGAACCCUCGACCAGGAUUCGACCACUGGCGCAGCCAGUGGGACAGUCUGCGAGACUCGCGAGCAGACUGCCCGAAGGGUGAGGCCCACAGGGCCGAAUCAAUCCCUCCCUCACCGCCA
rnacentral:sRNA from 1 species